rnacentral:rRNA from 1 species
AUUGAACGCUGGCGGCAGGCCUAACACAUGCAAGUCGAACGAGUGGCGGACGGGUGAGUAAUGUCUGGGAAACUGCCCGGUGGAGGGGGAUAACUGCUGGAAACGGUAGCUAAUACCGCAUACCAUCGGAUGUGCCAAGAUGGGAUUAGCUAGUAGGUUGGGUAACGGCUCACCUAGGCGACGAUCCCGAGCUGGUCUGAGAGGAUGACCAGCCACACUGGAACGGUGACACGGGCCAGACUCCUACGGGAGGCAGCAGUGGGGAAUAUUGCACAAUGGGCGCAAGCCUGAUGCAGCCAUGCCGCGUGUAUGAAGAAGGUCUUCGGGUUGUAAAGUACUUUCAGUGAGGAGGCGUUACUCGCAGAAGAAGCACCGGCUAACUCCGUGCCAGCAGCCGCGGUAAUUC